CGGCACUAGCGCGGUGGUCCCACCUGACCCCAUGCCGAACUCAGAAGUGAAACGCCGUAGCGCCGAUGGUAGUGUGGGGUCUCCCCAUGUGAGAGUAGGAAACUGCCAGGC
rnacentral:rRNA from 1 species